rnacentral:rRNA from 1 species
UACGUAGGGGGCUAGCGUUGUCCGGAAUCAUUGGGCGUAAAGAGCGUGUAGGCGGUCCGGUAAGUCCGCUGUGAAAGUCGGGGGCUCAACCCUCGAAUGCCGGUGGAUACUGUCGGGCUAGAGUGCGGAAGAGGCGAGUGGAAUUCCUGGUGUAGCGGUGAAAUGCGUAGAGAUCAGGAAGAACAUCGGUGGCGAAGGCGGCUCUCUGGGACGGUACUGACGCUGAGGCGCGAAAGCGUGGGGAGCAAACAGG